rnacentral:rRNA from 1 species
GGCUCAGGACGAACGCUGGCGGCGUGCUUAACACAUGCAAGUCGAACGAUGAAGCCGCUUCGGUGGUGGAUUAGUGGCGAACGGGUGAGUAACACGUGGGCAAUCUGCCCUUCACUCUGGGACAAGCCCUGGAAACGGGGUCUAAUACCGGAUAAUACUCCUGCCUGCAUGGGUGGGGGUUGAAAGCUCCGGCGGUGAAGGAUGAGCCCGCGGCCUAUCAGCUUGUUGGUGGGGUAAUGGCCUACCAAGGCGACGACGGGUAGCCGGCCUGAGAGGGCGACCGGCCACACUGGGACUGAGACACGGCCCAGACUCCUACGGGAGGCAGCAGUGGGGAAUAUUGCACAAUGGGCGAAAGCCUGAUGCAGCGACGCCGCGUGAGGGAUGACGGCCUUCGGGUUGUAAACCUCUUUCAGCAGGGAAGAAGCGC